UCUUUUUUGGGUCAUUAUUUGUGUAUAUUUCACAAUGGAGGGAACUCUGAUGCAGUGACGCCGCGUGCAGGAAGAAGGUUUUCGGAUUGUAAACUGCUUUAGAUAGGGAAGAAGAAAAGACAGUACCUAUAGAAUAAGCUCCGGCUAACUACGUGCCAGCAGCCGCGGUAAUACGUAGGGAGCGAGCGUUAUCCGGAAUUAUUGGGUGCAAAGGGUGCGUAGACGGGAACUUAAGUUAGUUGUGAAAUCCCUUAGCUCAACUAAGGAAUGGCAACUGAAACUGGGUUUCUUGAGUGCAGGAGAGG
rnacentral:rRNA from 1 species